CUACGGGACGCAGCAGUGAGGAAUAUUGCACAAUGGGGGAAACCCUGAUGCAGCAACGCCGCGUGGAGGAUGACGCAUUUCGGUGUGUAAACUCCUUUUAUGAGUCAAGAAAAUGACGGUAGCUCAUGAAUAAGCACCGGCUAACUCCGUGCCAGCAGCCGCGGUAAUACGGAGGGUGCAAGCGUUACUCGGAAUCACUGGGCGUAAAGGACGCGUAGGCGGGAUGUCAAGUCAGGUGUGAAAUCCUAUGGCUCAACCAUAGAACUGCACUUGAAACUGGCAACCUAGAGUAUGGGAGGGGGAGAUGGAAUUAGUGGUGUAGGGGUGAAAUCCGUAGAUAUCACUAGGAAUACCGAAAGCGAAGGCGAUCUCCUGGAACAUUACUGACGCUAAGGCGUGAAAGCGUGGGGAGCAAACAGGAUUAGAUACCCGGGUAGUC
rnacentral:rRNA from 1 species